rnacentral:lncRNA from 1 species
UGAGGAUGAUUUUACAACACAAUGGGGCAUUUGGCAAUGUGAGACAUUUUUGAUCGUUCCAACUUGGGGGCAAAAUUACCAGUGGUGCUGAGGUUGAGAAGCCUUGUGUCAAGGGGAUAUGUUAAUAUAUGCUCAAAGGAGUCGUUCAUAUUGGAAGGUUAGCAGAUUUGCUGUGUGUGGAUAAAAUAUUUAGCUUAAUUG